UACAGAGGGUGCGAGCAUUAAUCGGAAUUACUGGGCGUAAAGCGCGCGUAGGCGGUUUUGUAAGUCGGGUGUGAAAUCCCCAAGCUUAACUUGGGAACUGCAUUCGAGACUGCAUAGCUAGAGUAUGGGAGAGGGAAGUGGAAUUUCAGGUGUAGCGGUGAAAUGCGUAGAUAUCUGAAGGAACAUCAGUGGCGAAAGCGACUUCCUGGACCAAUACUGACGCUCAUGUGCGAAAGCGUGGGGAGCAAACAGG
rnacentral:rRNA from 1 species